GGAUUUUGCGAAUAAAUCACAUCUUACACACACACACACACACAUGGUGAAUUAAAAAACUUAAAUACCCAAAAAAAUCUCCAUAUAACUAUACAAAAUUUCAAGUAUUCAGGCUGCUUCUACUGGCACCAACAACGUACACCCGGAGCCAUAAUUUAGUCAUGUGAACAUCCAUAUACAAAUAGAUAGAUACAUACUGACUUCUCAAAACAUAAUAGAAUGUGU
rnacentral:lncRNA from 1 species